UCGAGAAUCUUCGGCAAUGGGCGAAAGCCUGACCGAGCGACGCCGCGUGGAGGAUGAAGGCCUUCGGGUUGUAAACUCCUGUCGAGGGGGAACAAGAGGCCGUGAAGAGCGGUCUUCGAGUGAUCCCUGGAGGAAGCACGGGCUAAGUUCGUGCCAGCAGCCGCGGUAAGACGAACCGUGCUAACGUUAUUCGGAAUCACUGGGCUUAAAGCGCGUGUAGGCGGUCCGGCACGUUCGACGCUGAAAUCCCCCGGCUCAACCGGGGAACGGGCGCGGAUACGACCGGGCUGGAGGGAGGUAGGGGGAGCUGGAACUUCCGGUGGAGCGGUGAAAUGCGUUGAGAUCGGAAGGAACGCCCGUGGCGAAAGCGGGCUCCUGGACCUUGCCUGACGCUGAGACGCGAAAGCCAGGGGAGCGAACG
rnacentral:rRNA from 1 species